UCGAGAAUCUUCCGCAAUGGACGAAAGUCUGACGCAGCGACGCCGCGUGUGGGAUGAAGGUCUUCGGAUUGUAAACCACUGUCGGGAGGGACGAAGCUCUGACGGUACCUCCAAAGGAAGCACCGGCUAACUCUGUGCCAGCAGCCGCGGUAAUACAGAGGGUGCGAGCGUUGUCCGGAAUCACUGGGCGUAAAGGGCGCGUAGGCGGCCUGGUAACGUAGGGGGUGAAAUCUCAUGGCUCAACUGUGAGGCUGCCUUCUAGACUGCUGGGCUUGAGCACGGUAGAGGCUGGUGGAAUUCCCGGUGUAGCGGUGGAAUGCGUAGAGAUCGGGAGGAACAUCGGUGGCGAAGGCGGCCAGCUGGGCCGUUGCUGACGCUGAGGCGCGAAAGCGUGGGGAGCAAACAGGAUUAGAUACCCGAGUAGUCCCUGAGCGGGCUGGCAAGGCGCAU
rnacentral:rRNA from 1 species